GACGAACGCUGGCGGCGUGCUUAACACAUGCAAGUCGAACGGUGAAAGGGAGCUUGCUCCCUGGAUCAGUGGCGAACGGGUGAGUAACACGUGGGCAACCUGCCCCAGACUUCGGGAUAACGCUUCGAAAGAGGUGCUAAUACCGGAUACGAACUCCUUGGGCAUCCUUGGAGUUGGAAAGUUUUUCGGUCUGGGAUGGGCCCGCGGCCUAUCAGCUUGUUGGUGAGGUAACGGCUCACCAAGGCGACGACGGGUAGCCGGCCUGAGAGGGCGCGCGGCCACACGGGGACUGAGACACGGCCCAGACUCCUACGGGAGGCAGCAGUGGGGAAUAGUGCGCAAUGGGCGAAAGCCUGACGCAGCAACGCCGCGUGAGGGAUGACGGCCUUCGGGUUGUAAACCUCUUUCAGCAGGGAAGAAGUGAGAGUGACGGUACCUGCAGAAGAAGCACCGGCUAACUACGUGCCAGCAGCCGCAGUAAGAC
rnacentral:rRNA from 1 species